CCACCCGAGCUGGCACAGCUGUCGUUCGUAUGCUCUUCUUUUAAGGACUGGCUUCUUUUAGUGGUCCGAAGUUUGAGGCAAUAACAAGUCUGUGGUGCCCUUAGAUGGUCUGGGCUGCACGCCCCCUACACUGACAGAAGCAGCAAGUAUACCACCUUGACCGGAAAGUCCGGGGAAUCUUUUUAAACUCUGUCGUGCUGGGG
rnacentral:rRNA from 1 species